AGGCAAGAUGUAGCCAAGGACAACUUGCCGAUCGAAAAUUAGAUCAAUAAGACCACCAAGCUUAGCGGGCUGCAUCCAUCGAGAUCGAUCGGCAAGUCAUCCUUGGCUGCACCAUGGCCUCC
rfam:Leersia perrieri chromosome 1, whole genome shotgun sequence.